GACAGAGGGUGCAAACGUUGUUCGGAAUUACUGGGCGUAAAGCGCGUGUAGGCGGCCAUGCAAGUCGGAUGUGAAAGCCCUCGGCUCAACCGGGGAAGUGCACUCGAAACUGCAAGGCUAGAGUCUCGGAGAGGAUCGUGGAAUUCUCGGUGUAGAGGUGAAAUUCGUAGAUAUCGGGAGGAACACCAGUGGCGUAGGCGGCGAUCUGGGAAGAUACUGACGCUGAGGUGCGAAAGCGUGGGGAGCAAACAGG
rnacentral:rRNA from 1 species